AAGUAUGUUGUACACAUGUUAUAGAUUAUGAAGAAAAUUUAUGGUGUCAUAAAUAGAUAUAUCAAGUUUAAAAGAUAACGCAUGCAGAAAAAACUGUUGAGGUCAUGCAUAUAUCAAGAGUUGUAUUUCUCCUCUACUGCUUAGUGAUGUCGGCUAGCGGAUGUGAUGAAUGGGCUAAACAAAACCCCUGUAUGUGUACAUGUGAUGAUGGCAACAAUGAAUGUAUAGAAAGAUGUAAAGUUAUAGCAGCAAAAAAUGAAAAGAUCCGUUGCUCUGAACAGUGUUUUAUGAUUGCCAAAACCUGCUGGAAUUCAUGUGCUAGUGAAAUGAAAUCUGACUUGUAAAAUGUAAUAAACUUAUCACCUAAAAUUCAACAAACUUUUGAAUUUGAUUUGGUUUGCUUCAAUAAUACCGUAAUAAUUUUACUGAACCAAAUGUGCAAUUCGGCAAAUAAUUAUCUCCUGUGUGAUGUUCGAGGCUUAAAUAUUUGAAAACCAAAACUAUAUUAAUAAAUCUAAAUACAAUGUGA